rnacentral:rRNA from 1 species
GCAGUCGACGAACCAUCCUGUUGAUUGAAGCUUGCUUCUUGAUUCAGAUUUUGGUGAGUGGCGGACGGGUGAGUAACACGUGGGUAACCUGCCCAAAAGUGGGGGAUAACAUUUGGAAACAAGUGCUAAUACCGCAUAACAACUGCUUUCACAUGAUCGCAGCUUGAAAGAUGGCUCUGCUAUCGCUUUUGGAUGGACCCGCGGCGUAUUAGCUAGUUGGUGAGGUAAUAGCUCACCAAGGCAAUGAUACGUAGCCGACCUGAGAGGGUAAUCGGCCACAUUGGGACUGAGACACGGCCCAAACUCCUACGGGAGGCAGCAGUAGGGAAUCUUCCACAAUGGGCGAAAGCCUGAUGGAGCAAUGCCGCGUGAGUGAAGAAGGUUUUCGGAUCGUAAAACUCUGUUGUUGAAGAAGAACAUGCGUGAGAGUAACUGUUCACGUACUGACGGUAUUCAACCAGAAAGCCACGGCUAACUACGUGCCAGCAGCCGCGGUAAUACGUAGGUGGCAAGCGUUGUCCGGAUUUAUUGGGCGUAAAGAGAAUGUAGGCGGUUUAUUAAGUUUGAAGUGAAAGCCCUCGGCUCAACCGAGGAAGUGCUUC